CUUCAAUCCAUUCUUGUAGAUGGAUGUCACAUUUACUAGACACCAGUCAACUGGGAUCUCCCCUGAUAGCCAGGACUACUGAUAAAUGAUGCAAAGCAGCUUGAUGAGCACUUCUGCCAGCUUCUUCAGUACCCUUCAGUGGAUUUUAUCUGGCUCCAUAGACAUGUGCACAUCUAAGUGGUCUAGAAGGUCACUAAACAUUUCCUCAAGGUUUAGGAGGGCUUCAUGCUGUUCCCUGACCCUAUUUACCAUCUCAGGUUGUUGAGUACCUGGCGAACAACUGGUCUUGCUGUUAAAGAUUGAGGCACAGAAAGCAUUAGGUACCACAGCAUUUUCCUCAUCUCUUGGCGCUAUGUUUACACCCACAUCCAGUAAAAGAUGGAAAUUCUUCUUAGUCAUCAUUUUCUUGUUAUGAAUUUAUAAAAAUAUUUUUAUUGUCUUUCACAACAAUAGACAGACUGAGCUCAAGUUGGGCUCAAGAAGGGCUUUGGCCCUUCUAAUUUUGUCCCUGAACAGCCUCAUGACAUUUUUGUAGUCCUUCUGAGUGGGCCACCUCUUCUUCCAAAGGUCAUAAACUCUCUUUCUCUUCCUGAGCUCUAGCCACAGCUCUCUGUUGAGACAGGACAGUCUUCUACAUUGGCUCGUCUUUCAGCAUAUGGGGAUGGUCUGCUCCUGUGCCUUUACAAUUUCCUUCUUGAAGAGUACCCAGCCUUCAUGGACUCCUUUGCUCUUCAGGACUGCCUCUGAAGGGAUUCCUUCAACCAGUCUCCUUAACAGGCUGAAGUCUGCCAUCCAGAUGUCCAGGGUGGCAGUUCUGCUAACCCGCCUCCUUACUUCUCCGAGAAUCAUAAACUCUGUUAAUGCAUGAUCACUAUGCCCAAGACAGCCUCCAACCUUCACAUCACCUACAAGUCCCACAAGUUUCUAUUUAGAAGAAAAAGGUCCAGCGGUGCACCUUCCCUAGCUGGCUCACUCACCAGCUGUGUCAGGAAGUUAUCUUCCACACAGUUCAAGAACCUCAUAGACUGUUUCCUCUCUGCUGUGUUUUAUUUCCAGCAGAUAUCUGGUAAGUUAGUCCCUCACAAGAACAAGGGCUAACGAUUGAGACUUCUCCCAGAUGUUUUUAGAAUAUUUUGUCUGCAGGUCUUGGUUUGUCCUCUUGCUCUGGGUUGUAAGAGGAUACCCCCUAGUCACGCCUUACAGGUACUUCCUUGGCUGCAUGCACUUGCUGGAGGCUUAUUUUGCUCUCUUGGUUGUCUCUAUAAAUUUCCCCCAUUUCUCCUGGUUUAAAGUACUCCUUACCAGGUUAGCUAUUCUGUCAGUAAAGACAUGUGUGCCCUAUUUAAUAAGGUGGAUCCCAUCUCUCCCAAUCAGCUGUCAAUCUUCAGAUACGAUCCCAAGCUUAUAGAAACCAAAGUCAUGUUACCAACACCAGCAAUGCAGCCAGUUGUUUACUUGGAGAAUCUGUCUACUUCUCCUCUCAUCCUUUACCUGAACUGGUAGAAUUGAGGAGAAAACAGCCUGGGUUCCCAGGGCCUUGAUCAUAAUCUCCAGAGCUUGAAUCUAUCCCUUGAAU